CCCUCAAAAUACAAGUUAGUCAUAGUCAAUAUACAUAAAAGUAGUAGUACAUAAUUCCCUCAAAAUACAAAAAAUAAUUAAACAAGCAUCAAAAGUAACAAACUUUUACUCUAAACACUUCAAAUUGUCACUGAAAAGCACUGGAAAGUUUAUUGACCUCACAAUACGACUCGAAUAUAGAUCUACAAAUAUUAGAUUCAGAAACCCCUGUAUUAGCCAUGAUGGAACUGACUGACCCUCUUCCUACCAUACUUG
rnacentral:lncRNA from 1 species